AUAAAAUACUUUCUCAAAAAUGCUAUAGUUACGUUGAACGUUUAUUCAUUCACAUUAUUCAAAAUGUUUUGUUUUUAAAUUCAUUGUAAUCAGAUGUAAUCAUGAUUACUUUGCCAAUGUAAUCAGUAAUUUAAUCAGAUACUUUCAGAAAUGAUGUAAUCAGUAAUUUAAUUUAAUCGUACAAAUGACAAAGUAAUUGUAAUUUAAUCAAUUACAUUGAAAGUAAUCGGACCCAUCUCUG
rnacentral:lncRNA from 1 species